rnacentral:rRNA from 1 species
UACGUAGGGCGCAAGCGUUGUCCGGAAUUAUUGGGCGUAAAGAGCGCGUAGGCGGCUUGUCACGUCGGUUGUGAAAGCCCGAGGCUUAACCUCGGGUCUGCAGUCGAUACGGGCUAGCUAGAGUGUGGUAGGGGAGAUCGGAAUUCCUGGUGUAGCGGUGAAAUGCGCAGAUAUCAGGAGGAACACCGGUGGCGAAGGCGGAUCUCUGGGCCAUUACUGACGCUGAGGAGCGAAAGCGUGGGGAGCGAACAGG